GAAAAAGGCGCUGUCUGUUAGAGACUGCUUUAUGAAAAUGUGGACACGUGUGUGUAACUUGGCUGCAAGAUCACUAAGGCGUUGAUACAAUAACCACUAUAAAUAUUUGAAAGGUGUCAACAUCAAGGUCUAGAUUUUACCCACAGAUGCCAGCACAAUGUUUCCAUUGAUUAGCUGUUCUGUAAUAUAAGCCUGUGUAUGGAAAACGUAUAUUAAAAGGAGUCUUAUGUAGAUCAUGCCAGGAUUUCACUUCCCCUGCUUUUGUUGUAUCAGUCUGAGCUGACUAAACCCACUGGAAGCUUGCAGAUGUUUUUAUUGCAAGUUAGAAUCAGGAGCUUAUUGUAAAAAAGAAAAAAUAUUCUGGACUGAGAGAUACUGAGAAAAGCAUCAUUAUUUGGGUCUACGAUUUCCUGGAUAAUAUUCUCUUUUGAUUACCAGCUCCUGAUGAGGUGGAAGAAUGGCGAGCCCUUGGAGAGUUGUUUGGACUUUCCUUCUCUGGUUAUCCUGGCCUAGUCCCAAUGUUCUUGCUUCUCUUUGGAAGUGUGAAUAUUGACUGUCAUGGAAAUGGCCAACCGAAAUGCAACUGGAAUAUAUGCGCUGGUGAGCCAAGGCAUGUCCUUCUGCAUGGCCUGGAAAAUCUCUAGCACCAUUGAUGACAUGACCAUAAAGCCAGUGAGAGGAGACAGGAACUGCCAUGCACCUCUGGAGUAUUUCACAAUGAUCAGCUCCAAGCAAAGCCCUCCCUUGCAGAGACCUAAGUGCCUGUGCCCAUUGGAAGACAACCUGAUGGGACGUUAUCCUGGCAGAUAUCUGGGACAGAAAGGAAUCAUGCUGGUCUACCACCCCAGGAGGAGCAAGGCUUUCUGUCAGACAGCUGGUGGAAAGGAACAAGGGAAGGUGCCAUGA
rnacentral:lncRNA from 1 species